rnacentral:rRNA from 1 species
CCUACGGGGGGCUGCAGUCGAGAAUCAUUCACAAUGGGGGAAACCCUGAUGGUGCGACGCCGCGUGGGGGAAUGAAGGUCUUCGGAUUGUAAACCCCUGUCAUGUGGGAGCAAAUUAAAAAGAUAGUACCACAAGAGGAAGAGACGGCUAACUCUGUGCCAGCAGCCGCGGUAAUACAGAGGUCUCAAGCGUUGUUCGGAAUCACUGGGCGUAAAGCGUGCGUAGGCUGUUUCGUAAGUCGUGUGUGAAAGGGGCGGGCUCAACCCGCGGACGGCACAUGAUACUGCGAGACUAGAGUAAUGGAGGGGGAACCGGAAUUCGCGGUGUAGCAGUGAAAUGCGUAGAUAUCGAGAGGAACACUCGUGGCGAAGGCGGGUUCCUGGACAUUAACUGACGCUGAGGCACGAAGGCCAGGGGAGCGAAAGGGAUUAGAUACCCGGGUAGUC